AGUGAACGCUGGCGGUACGCCUAACACAUGCAAGUCGAACGGCAGCACAGUAAGAGCUUGCUCUUACGGGUGGCGAGUGGCGGACGGGUUAGGAAUACAUCGGAAUCUACUUUUUCGUGGGUGAUAACGUAGGGAAAGUUACGCUAAUACCGCAUACGACCUACUGGUGAAAUCAUUCGAUCUUCGGACCUUGCGCGAUUGACUGAGCCGAUGUCGGAUUAGCUAGUUGGCGGGGUAAAGGCCCACCAAGGCGACGAUCCGUAGCUGGUCUGAGAGGAUGAUCAGCCACACUGGAACUGAGACACGGUCCAGACUCCUACGGGAGGCAGCAGUGGGGAAUAUUGGACAAUGGGCGCAAGCCUGAUCCAGCCAUACCGCGUGGGUGAAGAAGGCCUUCGGGUUGUAAAGCCCUUUUGUUCGGAAAGAAAAGCGGCAGGUUAAUCCCCCGCUGUUCUGACGGUACCCAAAGAAUAAGCACCGGCUAAGUUCGUG
rnacentral:rRNA from 1 species